UUUGUAUACAAUGGAAUUUUACUCAGCCAUAAAAUGAAAUUCUGCCAUUUACAACAAUGUGAUGGACCUAGAGAGAAUAAUGCUUGACACAGGUGGCCCCAUCCUAUAGAGAAGAAACACAUUAGAGAAGAAUUUGGGUCUUGGAUGAACAACUGAACAACUGAAUUAAGCAAUGCUGAUUAAUCCACCCCUUCUGGGUUUCUGUUAAUGUGGUGUCCUAUCCUGAAAGAUGAUGCUGUGAAA